rnacentral:rRNA from 1 species
GGAUGCAUUUAAUGCAUGGUAGGGGAGCGUUCUGUAAGUCUGUGAAGGUGUCUUGUAAAGGAUGCUGGAGAUAUCAGAAGUGCGAAUGCUGACAUGAGUAGCGAUAAAGGGUGUGAAAAGCACCCUCGCCGAAAGCCCAAGGUUUCCUGCGCAACGUUCAUCGGCGCAGGGUGAGUCGGCCCCUAAGGCGAGGCAGAAAUGCGUAGUCGAUGGGAAACAGGUCAAUAUUCCUGUACCGAUUCUAGAUGCGAUGUGGGGACGGAGAAGGUUAGGUCAGCCAUCUGUUGGAAUAGGUGGUUUAAGCGUGUAGGCGUGCCCCUUAGGCAAAUCCGGGGGGCUUAGCUGAGGCGUGACGACGAGGCACUACGGUGCUGAAGUGAUUGAUACCAAGCUUCCAGGAAAAGCCACUAAGCUUCAGUCUAGAAUUGACCGUACCGCAAACCGACACAGGUGGGCAGGUAGAAGAUACUAAGGCGCUUGAGAGAACUCAGGAGAAGGAACUCGGCAAAUUGAUACCGUAACUUCGGGAGAAGGUAUGCCCCAUUAGCUUGUAGGAGAACAUCCGAAGGGCGAAGGGGCCGCAGAGAAUCGGUGGCUGCGACUGUUUAUUAAAAACACAGCACUCUGCAAACACGAAAGUGGACGUAUAGGGUGUGACGCCUGCCCGGUGCCGGAAGGUUAAGUGAUGGGGUGCAAGCUCUUGAUCGAAGCCCCGGUAAACGGCGGCCGUAACUAUAACGGUCCUAAGGUAGCGAAAUUCCUUGUCGGGUAAGUUCCGACCUGCACGAAUGGCGUAACGAUGGCCACACUGUCUCCUCCUGAGACUCAGCGAAGUUGAAAUGUUUGUGAAGAUGCAAUCUCCCCGCGGCUAGACGGAAAGACCCCAUGAACCUUUACUGUAGCUUUGCAUUGGACUUUGACGGGACUUGUGUAGGAUAGGUGGGAGGCGAUGAAACCGGGACGCUAGUUCCGGUGGAGCCGUCCUUGAAAUACCACCCUGGUGUCGUUGAGGUUCUAACCUAGGUCCAUCAUCCGGAUCGGGGACCGUGCAUGGUAGGCAGUUUGACUGGGGCGGUCUCCUCCCAAAAGGUAACGGAGGAGUACGAAGGUACGCUUAGGGCGGUCGGACAUCGCCCACAAAGUGCAAUGGCAAAAGCGUGCUUGACUGCGAGACCCACAAGUCGAGCAGGUACGAAAGUAGGUCAUAGUGAUCCGGUGGUUCUGUAUGGAAGGGCCAUCGCUCAACGGAUAAAAGGUACUCUGGGGAUAACAGGCUGAUUCCGCCCAAGAGUUCACAUCGACGGCGGAGUUUGGCACCUCGAUGUCGGCUCAUCACAUCCUGGGGCUGUAGCCGGUCCCAAGGGUAUGGCUGUUCGCCAUUUAAAGUGGUACGUGAGCUGGGUUUAAAACGUCGUGAGACAGUUUGGUCCCUAUCUGCCGUGGGCGCUGGAUAUUUGAGGGGGCCUGCUCCUAGUACGAGAGGACCGGAGUGGACGAAUCUCUGGUGUACCGGUUGUGACGCCAGUCGCAUCGCCGGGUAGCUAAAUUCGGAAGAGAUAACCGCUGAAAGCAUCUAAGCGGGAAACUCGCCUCAAGAUGAGAUAUCCCUGGGAACUUGAUUCCCCUAAAGGGUCGUUGAAGACCACGACGUUGAUAGGCUGGGUGUGGAAG